rnacentral:lncRNA from 1 species
UUGGAUCGUGAGUAUUUUCAAUAAAAUUCGAUCGUGCGAAUUUUCAUCCAGAUCGUGUUUCUCUAUCGUUAAAAUACUUCCUAAUCCUGCUACGUUCCAUGAAUUCUUUGUAUCUCGAUGUUGCCUUCGUUUCAGGCUGGAUAAAGGUCUUUUUUUUUAAUGCUUCAGGAACAUUAGCGUACGAUUGAAACAGGGAAUCGGUAAUCUCACGCUGAUGACGAUCCUAUUUUUCUCAAAUUUUUGGGAAAUUUUCUAACGUUCUCUUAGACAUAUACGAUACCGACGAAAGCGACCGUAAGAAAUAUGAAGUUUACAAGAAAUGCGACAGAACGGUGGAGUCAUUUCUUGCGUAAUUAUAAGUUACGCUCUUUGAUUUGUUUCCGAACGUUGAAAAUCGUUUGGUUUAUUAAGAUAAAAUGAAGACAAAAAUUAGGGAGCUGUAGCAAGGUUAAUUACCUUUAGCAGAGAUUGAAUCUGAAAGAUAUGAUGUUACACGUCUUUUUUAAUAUCAUCGUACGGAACGUAAUUGUUAAUAUUGUUAUAUUUUCAAUAAAAAGUUAUAACUAUAUAUUUUUUUAUGUAUGGUACUAAAAAUGCGGAAAAUCUUGAAGACAAUUAUAUUGUAAAUCGAUCAUUCCGAAUUCCUCAUUCUCCAUCGACGUAUUACAGCGUCCGAGAGUUAGUAUGCAACCAAUAUUUCGAAAUAUGGUUAACCUAUAUUCACCUGUGAACGUUUUAUUGUCUUCAGAAAUCUAUCAAGAAAGAUAAACGUGAUGGAUUGAUCGUGACGAUAUUCGAUUAAUGGGGGAAGAUUGGGUUGUACGAAGAAAAUCAGAAUUCGGUACGCAAACCGCCGUAAACCAUCGAUAUCGAUCGCAAAAGCUGGGCAUAAGUCUGAAACGAUGCAUGAAAGGAGAAAAAAAAGUGGAAACGGAACGUUUGAUCCUGGAUAACGAAUGUGGCAAGCGCUGUGCUCGGUGUAUGUAAGUACAUAAAUCCGUGUCCGAAACAGAGCGAGGUCGAAGUACAUUUUUCAUCCGCAACAUUAUUCGGGGCGAAAGUAAUGUUACAUUUCACAGAACAACGCCGAUACGGUUCCGUGUGUCGUAACAGCUGCGGGUAGAUGGAGUGCACACAGAGGGCAGAAGAGCGAAAGAGAAGGGGAGAGGAACGAAACGAGAGGGUGGUUCCUGUGAUCUACAUUUUAAUCUUCCAGCAUCGAUGAAACGAGGGAAUCAAAGCAUCGUUCGGUUAUACGCGCUGAAAAAUCAAAUUCAAUGACUCGAAUGCAUUUGAACGUUGUCAAAGCAGCUAGGGGCAAUAGCCGCUAUGGCAAAGACUCCGAUAGCCAUGCGCGAAAUAGCCGAAAUUCAUAAGCAUUUUUAAAAUAUUAUCACUGCGAAAAGAGGAGAUAUCGCAAAUAUAAAUAAUAAUUUCGAAAAUAUUAAAUCUUCGAUAAAAUAUGAAAAGUUUGGCGUGUAACUGUCGCGUGCUAUCGUUGCGACAGAAUUUCCACUGUUUUCAAUAAAAUGCUUGCUUUUUAGGAGGGAAAAAGGACUGUAGGGAAUUGACGAAGCAUCGCGUCAAUAGUCUUUUUACAUUGUUACGAUUAUCGUAAAAAUAGGUAACAAAAGAGAUAAUUUACUUUUCAAAUCAAUGGCUGAUUUAUUAUCUUUAUAAAAUACAAAAAAAAAGAACAAGAAAAAGAAAACAACAAAAGAAGCGACUCAAUCAGAGGAACGAUAAAGUCGAUAUGUAAAUGAUAAAUCCGUAAAGUCUUACACCGUGAAUUGAAUUUUACUGCGAUUAUGCAUAUUAAACUAUGAUAAAUUAUGAGAUCAAAGGCGGAAGUUAAUGAUUUUACAAAUUCAGAACAGUCGCCAUCUACGAAUUAUUAUUACCCGGACCAAUGACUCAGGAGUCUUAAAGAUAUUAUUUUCUGCGUAAUUCAUACUGAUAAUAUAUUAGAAAUAUCGUCAUUAUCUCUGAGUCUAAAAUUGCAAGUAUGCAAUCUCAUUUCUUGAAAAUUAUCGGUAACAAGUCGUACAAUCUUAAAUUCAUCGAUAUAUUGGACUGAAAAGAACAAUUAGUUCUAUUAGCCGCAUUUGUAACUAAAAUAUUCGUUUGUUACAAAACGUCUUUUAUCAAAAAAGAAGAUCUAUUAAAAGGAGGCAAAAAAUAUGGCGCGCUAAAGAUAGAAAGACAUUAAACCUCCAGCCACAAGCGAUUUCUUCUACUAAAUUCGAUCUAUUCGUUCGUAUAACUGUCUUCGGCCAUAUAGGAAACAUUAUAUCCAAUAAAUAGCAGUCGUCACAGAAAGUAUCAAUCAAUUUCAGAUAAUUGGUAUUUUAUCGGAUCUUCGUUUGUUAUCUCGAAUCAUUUUUAAACGCACUUAUUUACCUGCUAUAAUUCCGUCAAUUCUAUUUAAUAUCGUUACAAAACUGAUCACGUAUCUAAAUUGCUUCCUCUUCUAGCACAUUUUAAACGAUCCAUACAGAUAAUCAAGAAGAAAGAAAUUUUCGAAUCGGAAGAAAUCACAAACGAACAGCACCACGAAGAAGAUAUCUAAAGGUUUGAUUUUAUAUAAAAUCGCGUGGAAAUUUUCCUACAAGUAUAUUUAGUUGCCACCAUAAAACCAGUAACCUAGAUGAUGUAAGACUUUUACGCAAUAUUGCAUAUAGCCUAGUUAGAACACUUGAUAACAUAUUUAUGUACACAACAAAA